UGGAAACGACAUAACAUCUUGAGGGAACGACAUUAUAUCUUGAGGGAACGACAUAGUAUUUUGAGGGGACAACAUUUUUUAUUUCUUUCAUGGCCGCAUUCUGCCUUCGUACGUUUCCCGAAGAUAGUUAUCUCUUUCCCUCAAAAUAAUAUGUCGUGCCUUAAAGAUGUUAUGUUGUUUCCUCAAGAUAGUUAUCUCGUUCCC
rnacentral:sRNA from 1 species